GAUACCGCCCUAGUUCUAACCAUAAACGAUGCCAACCAGCGAUCCGCCUGGGUUCCUCAAAUGACUCGGCGGGCAGCUUCCGGGAAACCAAAGUGUUUGGGUUCCGGGGGAAGUAUGGUUGCAAAGCUGAAACUUAAAGGAAUUGACGGAAGGGCACCACCAGUAGUGGAGCCUGCGGCUUAAUUUGACUCAACACGCGAAAACUCACCCGACCCGGACACUGGAAGGAUUGACAGAUUAAGAGCUCUUUCUUGAUUCAGUGGGUGGUGGUGCAUGGCCGUUCUUAGUUGGUGGAGCGAUUUGUCUGGUUAAUUCCGAUAACGAACGAGACUCUAGCCUACUAAAUAGGCGUUCCGAUCCCUUGCGUCGGGCGCUCUUCUUAGAGGGACAAGCGGCGUUUAGCCGCACGAGACAGAGCAAUAACAGGUCUGUGAUGCCCUUAGAUGUCCGGGGCCGCACGCGCGCUACACUGAAGGAAUCAGCGUGUGCUCUCCCUGUCCGCUAGGACUGGGUAACCCGUUGAACCUCCUUCGUGAUAGGGAUAGGGGCUUGUAAUUGUUCCCCUUGAACGAGGAAUUUCCAGUAAGCGCGAGUCAUAAGCUCGUGUUGAUUAUGUCCCUGCCCUUUGUACACACCGCCCGUCGCUACUACCGAU
rnacentral:rRNA from 1 species